rnacentral:misc_RNA from 1 species
GUUGAAGUGGUCAAAGGCGGAUUUCGGUUCUAAAAAUUAUAGGGUUCUUCAAUUUAAUUUUCGAUUUAAUUUUAAUUAAAGUUAAUAUAUUUUUUUAAAGAGAAACAUUUGCUUUGAAUUGAAAUAGGAUCGAAUUGAGUCUCCAAGAAAAAGAAUGGGAUCGAAUUGAAUCCAACAGUCCUAUUCGAAUUUAAAUUCAAUUUUAAUUCAUUUAAAUUUGAUUGAUUUCAGGUUGAUUUCAAUUCAUAAUUGCACAGGCAGUGGAGGUGAGGACUGUGGAUGGACACGAAGAAAUUGGAACAGAGAAUAAUUUAUUGAAGCAAUAAAAUAGUAGAGGAAGAGGAACGUGGCCAUGCCGGAGUUGUAAAAUAAUGCUAACAAAGAAAAGUGAGAAGAAAGAGACGGGCAAACACAAAGAAUCAGAUUGAGAGAGAGAGUGAGAGAUGGCAAAUCCACAGCUAAAAUAGGAAACCCACAAAAAAAGGGACAAUCGGGAGGUGGGCAAAUGCUGGAAUAGAGUGGCUGUGAAUAAAAGAGUUUGAGAUUUAUAUGGGGAGCGGAACUCUCGUGGAAGGUGUUCGUCGCUGGUUUCAACGCCGCAACGUUUCAUCAUCCUCUUCUUCUUCAUCUUCUAAUACUGUGAAUGGUGGAGAUAAUAAUAAUAUUAGUGGUCAGCCACAAUCUUCGGCUGCUAGUGUGCGCGAAAGGCGAAGCAAGGAAGGGGGUGGAAAGCAGCGGCAGGAGGAAGAGAAUCAGUUAACGGUUAUUGAGGAUUAUGAUUUCUAUGGAUUAAAGCAGAUUAGAGUUCCUAAACGAAAUACCCAUUUCGCUUUUGGCUCUACUACUACUACUACCUCCAUGGAUCCACACAAGAAGGGCUCUGCUGAAGCAGAUUUUUUCACUGAGUAUGGAGAGGCAAGUCGAUAUCAAAUACAAGAAGUCAUUGGGAAAGGCAGUUAUGGUGUUGUUGGCUCUGCAGUUGACACUCAUACUGGAGAAAAGGUUGCAAUCAAGAAAAUAAAUGAUGUUUUUGAGCAUGUUUCUGAUGCCACACGUAUUUUGAGAGAAAUUAAGCUUCUUCGGUUGCUUCGACAUCCUGAUAUUGUAGAAAUAAAGCAUAUAAUGCUUCCUCCUUCACGUAGAGAAUUCAGAGAUAUCUAUGUUGUUUUUGAGUUGAUGGAAUCUGAUCUUCACCAAGUAAUUAAGGCAAAUGAUGAUCUUACUCCCGAACAUUAUCAGUUUUUCUUGUACCAGCUUCUUCGAGCUCUGAAAUAUAUACACUCAGC